AGGGAAUCUUCGGCAAUGGACGAAAGUCUGACCGAGCAACGCCGCGUGAGUGAAGAAGGUUUUCGGAUCGUAAAGCUCUGUUGUAAGAGAAGAACGGGUGUGAGAGUGGAAAGUUCACACUGUGACGGUAUCUUACCAGAAAGGGACGGCUAACUACGUGCCAGCAGCCGCGGUAAUACGUAGGUCCCGAGCGUUGUCCGGAUUUAUUGGGCGUAAAGCGAGCGCAGGCGGUUAGAUAAGUCUGAAGUUAAAGGCUGUGGCUUAACCAUAGUACGCUUUGGAAACUGUUUAACUUGAGUGCAGAAGGGGAGAGUGGAAUUCCAUGUGUAGCGGUGAAAUGCGUAGAUAUAUGGAGGAACACCGGUGGCGAAAGCGGCUCUCUGGCUUGUAACUGACGCUGAGGCUCGAAAGCGUGGGGAGCAAACAGGAUUAGAUACCCUGGUAGUCCACGCCGUAAACGAUGAGUGCUAGGUGUUAGACCCUUUCCGGGGUUUAGUGCCGUAGCUAACGCAUUAAGCACUCCGCCUGGGGAGUACGACCGCAAGGUUG
rnacentral:rRNA from 1 species